UCUACUCAUAAGAAUGUAUUCUAAGGAAAUAAUCAGAUUUGGAGUUAUUAUUCUAAGGAAAUAACCAAAUAAGGAAACCAGCCUUAUUUGAAACAAUCAACUCUCCAAUCCUACGGAUUCCUUAUGUAAAGUAUGAUGAUUAGCUAGUCCUCAAUCUGGUCUGGUGUCAGAGUCCCGCCUCCUACCUCAAUUUCAUACGAUGUUAGCACCAGCAUCCAUUAAAACUCAUCCUGUAGAGGGAUAUCACAUAACGAAAAUGUUAAUGCUGCAUUACUGAGUGAAGAAAAAACUGACUAUGGAACAAUAAGUUCAAUGUAGCCGUGCUCUGUAAUUUUUAUUUAUGUAAACAAAAAGUUUACAUUUCUAGGUGAGGGUUACAGGUAAUUUUUGUUAGAACACGUCUAAUGUGGUACUUCUCAGCCUGGAGUGAGUUUUCUCCCCGGGGGACAUUUGGUAACAUCUGGAGAUAUUUUUGGUUGUCUCAAAUGGUGGUGGUGGGGGGGUGGCGGCGGGGGGCAACUGGUGGGUGGAGGCCAAGUCACAAGUCGGCUGCUGAACACCCUACUAGGCACCAGACCAACCCCCCAACUACAGGGAAUUAUCCGGCAGAUGACAACAGUGCAGAGGUUGAGAAACCCUGCUCUAUGCCAGGCGCGGUGGUUCACGCCUGUAAUCCCAGAACUUUGGGAGGCUGAGGCGGGCGGAUCACUUGAGGUCAGGAGUUAGAGUCCGAGAAACUCUGCUCUACGUUUUGUAAGUAUUCUGUACUAAGCCGGUUAAGGUUUGUAAUCUUCAUCUUUCAUACUGUGAUUGGUGUUAGAAAAGCCUAACAUCUAAAUUUUCUUUUAUAAUUAAAAAUUUUGUUUCACUUAUUUGUUUCAUUUUGUUCAAGUUGUCUUGGUUUGUUUUGUUUUGAGUGCCUACGAUGUUUCAGACAGAUUGCCAAAGCAAUGGAGAUGGUUAUUAAACACAACAGCCUUUGCGGUGGAGUUGCUGACUCCUCUAAGCUAAAUAUGUAAUAAGAGUUACAUUAAACCACCUAGAAACCAACCUUAGUACAGUAUCACAUCCACCCCCUCCCCCCGAAAAAAAACCCCACAAAUCCUGCUCAGAAAAAAAAAAAAAUAUAUAUAUAUAUAUAUAUACACAUAUAUAUAUAUAUAUAUAUACAUAUAUAUAUAUAUACACAUAUAUAUAUAUAUAGAGAGAGAGAAAAGUAAUGUAGGUCUUUACUGAGGAUUGCUUUUUGAGAAAACAGAAAGAGGUGAAUUGUAUAGCAUACAGCAAGACUUUCUUAACAAAACUUUUUAUAUCAUUUUCCUCCCAAUUUACAACUUCCUCCUUCCCCAUUCCCCUACAGAUUAUCCUCCCUCUUCUCAUCUCCUCACUUCCUGUGUCCUCUCUUUACCAAUUCUCACAGAGAGGCAAUCAUAAUGAUGUCAGGUGACCAAAUGUACUGAGUGCUUUACGGGUAUUCUGAGGAAAAUGCUAUUGCUUUCUUUAUUUUAGAGAUGAGACAAGCGAGACACAAUGAAGUGAAGUAACUUGCCCAAUAUCACAUAGCAGAUAAAGCCAAGAUCCAUGUUAUAAAGCCAGACAGGCUGACUUCAGAGUCUGUAUUCUUAACAACUGUUUUACAUUGAUUUGCUUCUCAAAAUCCAUAUUAAAGUUCUAUUUAUGUUAAUAUGAUAGGCUAGAAAAUUACCUAGCUUUACAGAAAGAAAGUAAAAUAACAGAUAAAAUAUUAAAUGACGUUUCUUUGACUCUUGAGUUGAAUACUCUUGCACUAGAUAGAAUAUUCCUUAUGGUUAAAUCUGGCAAUCACUCAGUUCCAUUAUCUUUCCUCGAGACAUCUCUUUAGAGGUCUCCAGAUGCUUCUAGGAGCCUUUUCUCCUUUUGCUCCAGUUUGCACUUGUGUUCUCUGAGCCUACUGAAUGGAUAUUAUCCUGGGACUCUCCUCACCAUGGGCCUGAGAAAUGUGUUGGUUACUUGUGCUGAAUUUUUAGAUCCUGUGGUUUAUCUUUCUUGAUUUACUUACUUGCAUUGUUUUAUUCUGAUGUAGUAUAUUCUGUAUUAACUUCCUGAGAAAGGGUGAAUGGAGCAUAAAUCCUUGACGGGAAGUUUGGCUAGGUCUAGAAUUCUGUAAUUUUAAUUAGGAUUUUGAAAGCUCCCAGAGACAUAUCCUGACUUUCAAUGCAGUUGUUCAGAAAUCCGCUGGCAUUCCGAUUUCCCUUUAGGUGUCGCUUCUACUUUCUCAGGAUGCUUUUUGGAUCUCUUUAUCUCCAAUGGUCUAAAAUUUCAACAUAAUAAAACUUAGCUUUCUUGUUUAUUUUUCUGCCCAGUGUUUUGAGCUCUGUAAUCUGAAAACAUAAGUCCUUCAAUUCUGGGACAUUUUCUUGUAUUAUUUCUGUAAUAAUUACUGUUUCGUUCUUUUUCCUUCUUCCUUUUUCUUUUUUCCCUUUAAAAAUUUUUUUUAUUCUUCUCACCUCUCUUCUCUCCCUCAUCUUUCUUCUUUCCUAUUUCCCUCCUGUCCUUUCUCCUUUCUUUUUAUUUUGUUUUAUUUUUAUUUAUUUAUUUUUGAGACAGGGUCUCACUGUGUCACUGAGGUUGGAGUGCAGUGGCACAAUCUCAGCUCACUACAGCCUCAACCCCUCAGGUUCAAGCAAUCUUCCCACCUCAACCUCCUGAGUAACUGGGACUACAGGCGUGCACCACCAAGCCUGACUAAUUUUUGUAUUUUUUGUAGAGACGGGUUUUUUCCAUGUUGCCCAUGCUGGUCUCAAACUCUCGGGCUCAAGUGAUCUGCCUGCCUCAGCCUCCCAAAGUGCUGGAAUUACAGAUGUGAGCCACUGUGCCCAGCCCCUUUCUUUUUUCAGUAGAAAUUCCUGGUCUGACUUCCUAAUUUUACUAUUCUUUCACUCCUAUUUUUUAAGAAUUUACCUUUCUAAUCUACUCUCUAGGAAAUUCUUAAUACUUCAUUGUUUCUAAUAUUUUUAGAAUACUCCAUUAUUUCUAAUAUUUUUAAUUGCUGCAAUUAUAUAUAUGUACAUGUGUGUAUGUAUGUGUAUGUAUAUAUAUAUACACACAUAUACAUGCACAUACAUAUAUAAUUGUAGACAAACCUUGUGCUCAGAUCUUGGAUUCUUCUUUUUCUUCCUUUUUUGUCUACUGAGCACAAGGUUUGCCUCCCAAAGUGCUGGGAUUACAGGCAUGAGCCACUGUGCCUGGCUUAUAUUUUUAAUUUCUAAGUGUUUUCACUUUAAAUAGACUUUAUUUUUAUUUAUUUAUUUAUUUUUUAGAGAUGAGGUCUCGCUAUAUUGCCCAGGCUGGAGUGCAGUGGCUGUUCAUAGGUGUGAUCAUAGUGCACUACAGCCUCAAACUCCUGGGCUCAAGCAACCUUCCUGUCUCAGCCUUCUGAGUAGCUGGGAAUACAGGUAUGCUAUACCACAAGAUGCUCCAGGCUCAUCUUGCAUCUUU
rnacentral:lncRNA from 10 species